CAGCCGCCGCGGUAAUACGUAGGUGGCAAGCGUUGUCCGGAAUUAUUGGGCGUAAAGGGCUCGCAGGCGGUUUCUUAAGUCUGACGUGAAAGCCCCCGGCUCAACCGGGGAGGGUCAUUGGAAACUGGGAAACUUGAGUGCAGAAGAGGAGAGUGGAAUUCCACGUGUAGCGGUGAAAUGCGUAGAGAUGUGGAGGAACACCAGUGGCGAAGGCGACUCUCUGGUCUGUAACUGACGCUGAGGAGCGAAAGCGUGGGGAGCGAACAGGAUUAGAUACCCCGGUAGUCCCUGUCUCUUAUAA
rnacentral:rRNA from 1 species